UACGUAGGGUCCGAGCGUUGUCCGGAAUUACUGGGCGUAAAGCGCACGUAGGCGGCUUUGUAAGUUAGAGGUGAAAGCCCGGGGCUCAACUCCGGAAUUGCCUUUAAGACUGCAUCGCUAGAAUUGUGGAGAGGUAAGUGGAAUUCCGAGUGUAGAGGUGAAAUUCGUAGAUAUUCGGAAGAACACCAGUGGCGAAGGCGACUUACUGGACACAUAUUGACGCUGAGAUCCGAAAGCGUGGGGAUCAAACAGG
rnacentral:rRNA from 1 species